UCUACGGAGAGUUUGAUCCUGGCUCAGGACGAACGCUGGCGGCGUGCUUAAUACAUGCAAGUCGAGCGACGAAACCUCGGUGGGUAACCACUGAGGCUGAAAGCGGCGAACGGGUGAGUAACACGUG
rnacentral:rRNA from 1 species